rnacentral:rRNA from 1 species
GAUGAACGCUGGCGGCGUGCCUAAUACAUGCAAGUCGAGCGAACGGACGAGAAGCUUGCUUCUCUGAUGUUAGCGGCGGACGGGUGAGUAACACGUGGAUAACCUACCUAUAAGACUGGGAUAACUUCGGGAAACCGGAGCUAAUACCGGAUGAUAUUUUGAACCGCAUGGUUCAAAAGUGAAAGACGGUCUUGCUGUCACUUAUAGAUGGAUCCGCGCUGCAUUAGCUAGUUGGUAAGGUAACGGCUUACCAAGGCAACGAUGCAUAGCCGACCUGAGAGGGUGAUCGGCCACACUGGAACUGAGACACGGUCCAGACUCCUACGGGAGGCAGCAGUAGGGAAUCUUCCGCAAUGGGCGAAAGCCUGACGGAGCAACGCCGCGUGAGUGAUGAAGGUCUUCGGAUCGUAAAACUCUGUUAUUAGGGAAGAACAUAUGUGUAAGUAACUGGGCACAUCUUGACGGUACCUAAUCAGAAGGCCACGGCUAACUACGUGC